GCCAUUAUUAAAACGAAGAAUGUUUACGAGAGAACGGAUCAGAUUUAAGAACUUUUGUCGGAUAAAAUGCGCAAAUAUGACCGCUUAUAUAAGCCGUCAUUGGCGGGUUGUAGAAGCGGGUUGGAUUCACGGAGGGAGAUUGCCGCAAAUGCCGGUUUGCCGGUCGAGAGGUGCACAAAGUUGUGGAGGAAAAUACGGGACAAAUGUGUCCGCGAUGAAAAGCAGCAGUGGCGAUGCACGGGGCCAUAAAGUCUCUGAUAAAUAAAUAAACAAAUAAAUAAAUAGACGUGACUCUCUAGGUCAUCUUCAAC
ensembl:lncRNA